rnacentral:rRNA from 1 species
AUUGAACGCUGGCGGCAGGCCUAACACAUGCAAGUCGAGCGGAUGAGUGGAGCUUGCUCCAUGACUCAGCGGCGGACGGGUGAGUAAUGCCUAGGAAUCUGCCUGGUAGUGGGGGACAACGUUUCGAAAGGAACGCUAAUACCGCAUACGUCCUACGGGAGAAAGUGGGGGAUCUUCGGACCUCACGCUAUCAGAUGAGCCUAGGUCGGAUUAGCUAGUUGGUGAGGUAAAGGCUCACCAAGGCGACGAUCCGUAACUGGUCUGAGAGGAUGAUCAGUCACACUGGAACUGAGACACGGUCCAGACUCCUACGGGAGGAAGCAGUGGGGAAUAUUGGACAAGGGGCGAAAGCCUGAUCCAGCCAUGCCGCGUGUGUGAAGAAGGUCUUCGGAUUGUAAAGCACUUUAAGUUGGGAGGAAGGGCAGUAAGUUAAUACCUUGCUGUUUUGACGUUACCAACAGAAUAAGCACCGGCUAACUUCGUGCCAGCCGCCGCCGUAACAC